rnacentral:rRNA from 1 species
UACGGGGGGGGCAAGCGUUGUUCGGAAUUACUGGGCGUAAAGGGCUCGUAGGCGGCCAACUAAGUCGGACGUGAAAUCCCUCGGCUUAACCGGGGAACUGCGUCCGAUACUGGAUGGCUUGAGUUUGGGAGAGGGAUGCGGAAUUCCAGGUGUAGCGGUGAAAUGCGUAGAUAUCUGGAGGAACACCGGUGGCGAAGGCGGCGUCCUGGACCAAUUCUGACACUGAGGAGCGAAAGCCAGGGGAGCAAACGGG